CUACGGGACGCUGCAGUUAGGAAUAUUUUGCAAUGCGCGAAAGCGUGACAAAGCGAGCCAGAGUGUUUUUCCGUAUUGGAAAAACUUUUGCGAAAUGUAAAAAGUUUCAUGAAUAAGGACCGGGUAAGACUGGUGCCAGCCGCCGCGGUAAUACCAGCGGUCCAAGCCGCAGCCACAUUUAUUGGGUCUAAAACAUCCGUAGCUUGCUUGAUAAGUCUUUUGUGAAAUCCGGCAUCUUGAGUGUCGGGCGUGCAUAAGAUACUGCCAAGCUAGAGACCGGGAGACGCAAGAAGUACGGUUAGGGUAGCGGUUAAAUGCGUUGAUCCUUAUUGGACUAACAAUAGCGAAGGCAUCUUACGAGAACGGUUCUGACAGUGAGGGAUGAAGGCUAGGGGCGCAAAACGGAUUAGAUACCCCUGUAGUC
rnacentral:rRNA from 1 species